UACGUAGGUGGCAAGCGUUGUCCGGAUUUACUGGGCGUAAAGAGCGCGCAGGCGGUCGUUCAAGUCGCGUGUGAAAGCCCCCGGCUCAACUGGGGAGGGUCACGCGAUACUGAUCGACUCGAAGGCAGGAGAGGGUAGUGGAAUUCCCGGUGUAGUGGUGAAAUGCGUAGAUAUCGGGAGGAACACCAGUGGCGAAGGCGACUACCUGGCCUGUUCUUGGCGCUGAGGCGCGAAAGCUAGGGGAGCAAACGGG
rnacentral:rRNA from 1 species